UUUUAUGGAGAGUUUGAUCCUGGCUCAGGAUGAACGCUGGCGGCGUGCCUAAUACAUGCAAGUCGAGCGAACGGACGAGAAGCUUGCUUCUCUGAUGUUAGCGGCGGACGGGUGAGUAACACGUGGAUAACCUACCUAUAAGACUGGGAUAACUUCGGGAAACCGGAGCUAAUACCGGAUGA
rnacentral:rRNA from 2 species